rnacentral:RNase_MRP_RNA from 1 species
GCUUCCCCUGCCUCCUCUCGGCAAUCGGUCACCGGAUCAAAUCCGCAGCUGCAGAUC